ensembl:snRNA U6 U6 spliceosomal RNA
GUGCUCACUUCAGCAGCACAUACACUAAAACUAGAACAAUACAGAGAAGAUCAGCAUGGCCCCCGCAUGACAGGCAAAUUCAUGAGGCGGUCCAUACCUUU